rnacentral:rRNA from 1 species
UGGGGAAUAUUGCACAAUGGGGGAAACCCUGAUGCAGCGACGCCGCGUGAGCGAUGAAGGCUUUCGGGUCGUAAAGCUCUGUCCUAUGGGAAGAUAAUGACGGUACCAUAGAAGAAAGCCCCGGCUAAUUACGUGCCAGCAGCCGCGGUAAUACGUAAGGGGCGAGCGUUGUCCGGAAUUAUUGGGCGUAAAGAGUGCGUAGGCGGCAAAUUAAGUCAGAUGUGAAAACUAAGGGCUCAACCCAUAGAUUGCAUCUGAAACUGAUAUGCUUGAGUCAAGGAGAGGAAAGUGGAAUUCCUAGUGUAGCGGUGGAAUGCGUAGAUAUUAGGAGGAAUACCGGUGGCGAAGGCGACUUUCUGGACUUGAACUGACGCUGAGGCACGAAAGCGUGGGGAGCAAACAGG